UACGUAGGUGGCGAGCGUUAUUCGGAUUUACUGGGCGUAAAGGGUCCGUAGGGGGAUCGUUAAGUCUGAUGUGAAAUUCCAGGGCUCAACCCUGGACCUGCAUUGGAAACUGACGGUCUUGAGUUCGGUAGAGGUAAGUGGAAUUUGUGGUGUAGCGGUGGAAUGCGUAGAUAUCACAAGGAAGGCCAAAGGCGAAAGCAGCUUACUGGGCCGAAACUGACCCUGAUGGACGAAAGCCAGGGUAGCGAAAAGG
rnacentral:rRNA from 1 species